rnacentral:rRNA from 1 species
AGGGAAAGUUGCAAAGAACUUUGAAGAGAGAGUUCAAGAGAACGUGACAUCGUUAAAGUGGAACCGGAGAGAGUUGACGAAGCAUCUGUGGUGAAGACUUUCGUGUUUGCUUUAGUGAGCUCGUUUGUUGGAUCUGCUUUGGCUGCGUUGGUAGGGUUAUUGGUGUUAGUUGAAACGUGUAGUGUUGCCCACUUCUGUGGUGUCUUGCUUGCGUGGAUACUGGUCGCUGGUAGCCUUUAGCUUUGCUUGCAAAGUACCAAUGUUCAAGUCGACCACCUUUCCGACCCGUCUUGAAACACGGACCGAGGAGUGUAGCUAGUGCGCGAGUCAAAGGGUGUCAAACCCCACGGCGUAAUGAAAGUAAAGGCCAGUUUACUGGUUUUACAUAGGAGUUGUUCUUUGAGCAAUGCACUAUGGCCCUGUCUUGAAAGCUUGCUUUCGGGCAGAGGAAGAGCGUACUGGUUGCGACCCGAAAGAUGGUGAACUAUACUUGAGCAGGACGAAGUCAGAGGAAACUCUGAUGGAAGUCCGUAUCGGUUCUGACGUGCAAAUCGAUCGAUAGACUUGAGUAUAGGGGCGAAAGACUAAUCGAACCAUCUAGUAGCUGGUUCCUUUCCGAGGA